AUAAUAAUAAUUUUUAUAAAUUAUUUUCAAAAAUUAAAUUAAGAAAAUUUACAUUUCAGUCUUAUCUCGUUAAGAGAAAUCAAAAAAUUUAAAAAUUUUAAUCAAAAUAAGUUAAAAUAUCACUAAUAUUAAAAAUUAUUAUUUAAUAUUAGUGAAAAAUAUAAAUAAUACGAUUAAAGAAAAACUAUUAUAUUUUUGAAAACUGUUUUCAAUAAAAUGUAUUAUUUUAAAAUUAUUUUUUAGAUAUAUCAUUUAUAAAUGUUUUAAAAAAAUAUUUUUUUAGAAAAACGGUUAAUUUUAAAAAAAAAAAAUUGUUGAUCCAAAACAUAAACGAUACAAUGAUAAAAAAAAUAUAUUUAAUAAAAAAAUAAAAAAUCUAUUAAAAAAAAUUAUUUAAAAAAAAAUAAGGAAAAGAGAGAGGUGAGAGAGAGAAGAGGAAUGUCCAAUAUGUGGAGGGGCAAAUUAGUAAAAUUAAUGUGGAAGGGGUAUGUUGGUCAUUCUUCUUGGUCAAUCCGAUUGCUGGCAAAACGCACAUGGGAUAAGGACUGAAACUACCACUUUAUCAGAGUUUGUCCGGGCGCAAAACAAACGGUAAUUGUGUUACAUGAUAGAUUAAAUUUUUGUUGACAUUUAUAUCCGGAGCCAAGUAGUCCAUUGAGGCCUAUUAUUUGGAGACUCCUGGUCCCGUCCGGCAAACGAAUGAGACCCAAAGGGUUGGAUUGCUAAUACAAUGGGGGAUGGUAUUAGGCAAUUCCAUCCCAAGUUUAGACCCCAAUUGACCCUCUAACUAAAUACCCUUGACUAUGUAGAGUAUAAUUAAAUGGGAAAUAUGAAAAAUUCAAGGUGUAAUCCCAUCUAAUGAGCCCAAUUACAAAUUUAUCUUGAUAUUUAACACUCCCAGUUCUAUCCCGUGUAAAUCAAAACAAGAGGUUGGACUAUCUCACCUACAGUAAUAAUCCCUACUUCAUUAUCAAUUCCAAUCAUAAUCGCAUCUUGAUUAUAAAUUUGAUCAAUUUUUAACACACUUAAACAUUAUGAAGCAAAGGGGUGUGAUUAAAUCUCAUUAUUAUGAAUAUGGAAGUGUAGCAUAUACACGUCCUUUGUUAUGUUAAAACAUAAGAUAAAAUACGAGUUUAGGUAAUUGUUGUGCCCAAAAAAAAUUAAUUACGUUGUUCCCUUUAUGAUUUGGAUCUUAGGGGCACCCACAUUAGUCUCAUCAAAUUUGAGCUAAAUUAUAACUCAAAAAUCAUAUAUUCUAUUUUAAUUAGUUACUUUUUAAACACUUACCACACCAGCUUCCAUUCUAACUCUAUUUGUUAUAGUAUUAUUUUUUAUUAUUCAUUUAUUAUUUAUUGAUUCUAUGCUACAUUUUUUUUCUAAGGACAUAAUGUUUCAACGAAUGCAUUUUUUUAAAAAAAUAUAUUUUUCAAAACAAUCAUAUAUUUACAAUAAUUAUACCUUUUUUCAACAAUUAUUUUUUGGCCUUUUUCCAAUGGUGUAAAAAAUAUAUUUUGGUAAAAACGUAAGGGUACAAAAUGUAAUUUAUUGUUGGAUAAAUUUGACUAACCUCACAUGAGUUUUUUGACAAAUCCAGAUUCCUCCCUUAUAGCUUCAGAAAUAGUACUGACAUCUCUUACUUUUGAAUUUAAUGUUAAGAUUUCUCCCUUGAGCUAAUUUUUGUGUAAAAAUAACAAGAUUUUCUUUUAAUUUAGAAUUUUUAAUUUUUUUUUCUUAAUACACAAAUUAAAAUAAUUAAACAUUCUAUAAUUUUAAAAAGUAAUAAUAACAAAGUUAAUUUUUUAGUAUGUUUAGAUUAAGAGCACUUAAAAAGUAAAAUAUUUACCAUUUUUUUUAAAAAAAAUAUUAAUAACAAAGUUUUAUUUUUAAAGCGCAUUUUCACUAGUAAAAUUAAAAAGUAAACUAUUUAGAUCAAGUAUUUUUUAAAAACUUACUUAUUAAUAAAAACUAAAAAUAGUGUAUUUUAUAAAUAAAUAAUUUUUUGAGAAAAAAGUAUUUAUUUAUUUUAGUAGAUGUAGUGAGAAUUUUUUUUUGAAAGCCUUAAAUCAUAGAAAAAAUUUGUUAUUUUUACAUAAAAAUUAACUCUAGAGGAGAAUCUUGAUAUUAACUUUAAAAGUAAGAGAGAUUAGUGAUAUUUUUAAAAUUAUAGAGGAUUUGGCUAGUGAGUUUUACCAUUUAUUCUUUUAUAAAGGUGAAGAGAACAAAAGAGAUAUAUAUAAAAAAUAAAUACCCAAUAAAUAGUUCCUAGUCAAAGUAAAUGUAAUUUUGUAGGUUAUUUUGCCUAAUAUAAUGUGGACAAUUUUUAUUGUUUUCACUAGCUAAAUAACUACAAAGGUGGUUUAAUUAGUUUGAUGCGGAUGAUCUUAUUUUGGGUCUAAUUUUACAAUUAGAAUUAUUCAUAUUGUAAGGCUUGACAAGUAAUCUAUGUACUAAAAAAAUAGUUCGGUUAGACAUUUGUACCCUAAAUAUCAAAUCAUAUUUAUCUUGAAAAAAAUGAACUGUAAAAACACAAAUACUUCUAAUUAUAUAGCCGUUAAUAUUAUAUCGACCUAAGUUUGCAUUAAUUGUUUUACUCGAUGAUUCUACAUAGGUCCACGAGCGAAAACGGGAGCGGGAGCGCAGAGAAGAGCGGAGAGCGAGAGCGUCAAUUGUUAAAAUAGUCCCGAGAGCGAGAGCGUCUUCAGAGCGCCGAAAAAAUUAAAUUAUUAAAUUUUAGAUAUGUAUAUGUAUUAAUAAUAAAAUAUAAAAAUUGAAUAGUGUUAGCCAUUUUAAUAUUAUAAUACAAAUAAUAUAUUUAUAUAUAUAUAUAUAUAUAUAAUAUAUAUAAUAUAUAGGCAAAAAAAAGCUUAAUUGAUACAAUCAUUAUAAAGUGGUGUGUUGUGUAUUAUAUAUAUAUAUAAGAAUAAGAUAAUAAGAUAAUACAUAAGUACUUGUGACAUCAAUAGUGUAAAUGUAUCAUGUCAAAUGAUGAAUGAAACUGAUAAAAAAAAAACAUUAUGGUAACAUAGCAUCGGUUUUUUUAGGUAAAGUAAGUAGAUGAUAAGUUGUAUUUUCAUGACAUUGAAUCCAUAAUUUUAUUUUUUAAAUAAAAUAGUUUCAUAUGUUGUAACAAACGAAAUAAUUAACGACAAAGUUUUAUUCAAUAAUUGUUAAAAGAAGCUACAAAUAUACCCUAUAACAAACGAGACUAAAAGCAAUGAAUUGCCAAAAACUAUUAUAAUAAAAAAUUAUUAAAAUAUUUUGUAUACAGUUAAAAAUAUUUAAGAAAAUAUAAUUUUAAAAAAAAAUAAAUAAAAUUUUAAUAUUCGCGAUCUCAAAUUAAAAUCCUCGCCUCUCAAAAUUAAAUUCGCGCUCUCAAAAAUGAAAAUCAUCGGCUCUAAAAUUUAAAAUCCUCGCUCUCAAAAAUGAAAAAUCCGCGCUCUCAAAAAUAAAAAUUCGCGAAUUUUCGACGAUUUUGUACCAAAAUUCGUUAAUUCGCGAUUUGGAAGCGGGAGUGAGCGAAACCUAUAUAGGGAAGUAGUGGACAAGAUUCUACAAAUAAGAGAUUCGGCUCACAUCAUGCAAAAUGGGACAGGUCCCAUAUAAUGUGGGCCCAAAUUGUUGUACCUACCCCAAAAUUUGUAAAACACACUCAUCAAUUUUCAAAUAAUUAAUUCGCUAGAAUUGCACCACACGUCUCUGUUCUUUUUUAUUAAUAUAUUAAUUAAUAUAACAUUGCAAUUUGCAUGAUUUUUGUUCCUCCCAAAGUGGAUCUGUGAUGUAACUGCCUUUUUUCCCCCUUCACUCAAAGCCUAAUCUCUUGUAUGUUUUUCUAGUCUUCUACCCAAAUACAUAAACUUAUGAUCUACAUUGAAGUUGAAGUUUGGACAUAUCUUAUUUAAAACUAAAAUACCCAAAUACAUAAACUUAUGAUCUACAUUGAAGUUGAAGUUUGGACAUAUCUUAUUUAAAACUAAAAUACCCAAAUACAUAAACUUAUGAUCUACAUUGAAGUUGAAGUUUGGACAUAUCUUAUUUAAAACUAAAAUAAAUAAAAAUAAAUACUUGUCUUAUUCGAGGUUUUAUUAAUAUUAUUGAGUCAUUUUCUAGUAAAUGAACAAUAUUGUUGCAAAAGCAAGUCCUGAGAAUGAAGAAAAUAAUGAGAAUUUUAACUAAGGGUGACGAGUGUCGAUAUUAAUAAAAAAAAUUAAAAAAUGAUAAAUUAUAACAUAAAUUGAGCUGAAAUAAAAUUGUACAAAAGUAGCAUAAACAUAUAUAUAAUUAAUCGUGUUUCAUGUAUUCAAAUGGAAUACAAAAACUAUGAGUUUUAAUUCAAUUUGUCCAAUAAAAGUGAGACAUGUUAAAUUAUGUUAGACGCUCUUUUAUUUGAUUACAAAUAGCUACGAUAAUAUAUCAGUAUCAAGACCCUUAGCAAUGUACGUCUUUAUAUAUAUAUAUAUAUAUAUAUAUAUAUAUAUAUGAAAAUACUUGUUUGGUUUUACAGGUAAUAAAUGAGUUGUUAAAUGAGCAAAACAAUAUAUUAUUUAAGUUUAUUUUAAAAAUACGUUCAAGCUUGUUUUGUUUGUAUAACGAACCGAUCUCAAAUGAAAUUUAAUCUAUUACGAGCCGAGUUUGGGUAUCUUAAUUUUUUUAAAUAUCAUAAGUUUAUCAAACCGAUUAGUAAAUGGUCAAGCUUGAUUUGAAAAACUUACCAAACUUAAAAAAUAUGUAAAAAAUUUAAUUUGUUUAAGUAAUAAAUUAAUUUCAAAUAAAUUUUUAACGAGCCAAUCAAAUACGAGCCAACCAAACUUUAUCAAAAUUAUUUGGGUUACCUAUUUGUUGGUAAUAUGGAUGGAGUUAUAUAAUUUUUUAUUGAUUGAGACAGAUAUGUUAUUAUUUUUUAUUAGAAUAGUUCCGUCAAAUUUCUUGUUACAUAUAACUGUGUCAGUUUCUUGUCUCUCUUUUGUAGACUAUCACUCCGUUUGGUAAUGCUUAAAAGUCAG
rnacentral:lncRNA from 1 species